rnacentral:tRNA from 1 species
GGGCGAAUGGCGGAAUUGGUAGACGCACCACACUCAAAAUGUGGCGGCCUCCGGUCGUGAGAGUUCGAGUCUCUCCUCGCCCA